rnacentral:rRNA from 1 species
AUUGAACGCUGGCGGCCUGCCUUACACAUGCAAGUCGAACGGUAACAGGUCUUCGGAUGCUGACGAGUGGCGAACGGGUGAGUAAUGCAUCGGAACGUGCCCAGUUGUGGGGGAUAACUGCUCGAAAGAGCAGCUAAUACCGCAUACGACAUGAGGGUGAAAGCGGGGGAUCGCAAGACCUCGCGCAAUUCGAGCGGCAGGUGUCAGAUUAGGUAGUUGGUGGGGUAAAGGCCUACCAAGCCGACGAUCUGUAGUGGGUCUGAGAGGACGACCAGCCACACUGUGACUGAGACACGGCCCAGACUCCUACGGGAGGCAGCAGUGGGGAAUUUUGGACAAUGGGCGCAAGCCUGAUCCAGCAAUGCCGCGUGCAGGAAGAAGGCCUUCGGGUUGUAAACUGCUUUUGUCAGGGAAGAAAUCCUCUGGGUUAAUACCCCGGGGGGAUGACGGUACCUGAAGAAUAAGCACCGGCUAACUACGUGCCAGCCGCCGCCGUAACAC